rfam:Capronia epimyces CBS 606.96 aczIQ-supercont1.4, whole genome shotgun sequence.
GCAAUCGACCAUAGGAUCUGGAAAACAGGGCUUCCCGUUCGCUCAGCCGUACUUAAGCCAGAUGCCGGUCAGUUAGUACUGAAGUGGGUGACCAUUUGGGAAUCCUGACUGUCGAUUGUU